rnacentral:lncRNA from 1 species
AGAAAGUCUCUUGGCGCUGACCAUGGUUGGUUUCUUGGCCUUUGUGUUUUCAGCUGGAAAUCUGAAGAAGUGGGAUGGAUGUUGCAAUGCUCAGUUGGUGGUGGUUGUGCUGAUGAAUAAGUGAUGGCGUUGAGCUCGCCGCAUGCUGAAUUUAUAGGCGAGGGGAAAGGCGAGAAUAGCUGGCAGGGGACAAGGCCAUGGGAUCAGGGCAUGCAAUGUCACAACAUGAUUGAUUUGGAUUAGAUUGUGGUGGGGCCAAAUGUUUGGUGUAUGCUGGAGCCUAUAGUCGUAACUGGGUAGACAUUUGUUGGCUUUCUUAUCAUUCGUGGCUGCCAUACCAAACCAUGUAGGCGCGUAGCGAACAAGAGGCGUGUCGGGAACAUGGCAUUGGCAACUUGUGGGGAGGGGACAGCGAUGGGUUCCAGAUUCAGGGAUUGAUCAAUUUCGGCGACGGUGAGCACUCACUUGCACCAUCUAUGUGCUUUCUUACGUGCAUUGUUCAUGCACCUGAUCAAUCUAUUCUCUGUUGACAUCGAGUUGAAAAAUUUGCUUCGGUCUAGCACAUGAUAUGUUUGAUUUUUAAGCUGAAAGCACAUGUCGCUGAUGCAUCUUGGGUUCCGUUUGUAUUCAUAACAAUUUCAAUGUGUCGUUUCCAGUUAGUAGUUGGGUUUCUCAAACACAAGUAUUUGGACUAAAUUCAGAGUUAUAGUCUUCCUUUAGCAGGUGAGAAACUUACUUGGAUCUAUAUGAUUGUACUUUAGCGUGUUUUUAACAUUUUGAUUAGGUGUGAAAGGGACUGUGUUAAUUGAUGCAACACACAUAACUUGCUGAACAGUGUCAUCACUGAGUUCUGUUGAUGAUCUACCAUUGCAUGAAGAAGCCAUUCCGUAGCUCCUUCUCUGCACUUUCCUUUGGACCUUGAACCAGCUGCAUUUGUGAAGUGAAUAACUGGCAUCUAUAUCUUGCACCGACAUUACCUUCUGUAAAGUUUUGUGGGUAGAACAUUCAGCUUUUCAGUAACAGUUAACUAUCACUCUUUUUACCCCCAAAAAUAGAUCUGCCUUAUACCCCUAAAUACUUGUAGAGCAAACCCUGGUUUCUAUUCCAUUUUGUAAUUUUUACCUACUUAUUUUGUUGAUGGUACUGUAUUUAUUUUCCAGAGGCCUAGAUGAUAGAUUGUAUGGAGACUUGUUGCGUAUUCUCUGUGCAGCAGGAUGAAACUAUCGACAUCUAAAAGUAGAGUCACAACCAUUUUUGGUCCAUUGUAGAGUUGUAUGAAACUAAAAUUUAAGAGAAGAAUGCCCAGAGUACUGCUUUGUUGCUUUAAUGAUCAGAUUGCUAUACAUACAAUUUUCCUGCUCCUAUUGUCUGUUAUCUAACUAUCUUACACUAUCCAGGCAAACUAAACAAGAAAAAAUACAUCGCCAGGGCUUCUUCAUGC